CUUCUUCUUCUUCCUCUUCCUCUUCCUCUCCUUCUCCUUCUCCUUCUCCUUCUCCUUCUCCUUCUCCUUCUCCUUCUCCUUCUCCUUCUCCUUCUCCUUCUCCUUCUCCUUCUCCUUCUCCUUCUCCUUCUCCUUCUCCUUCUCCUUCUCCUUCUCCUUCUCCUUCUCCUUCUCCUUCUCCUUCUUCUUCUUCUUCUUCUUCUUCUUCUUCUUCUUCUUCUUCUUCUUCUUCUGUCUUGCAAGUGUUGUGAUUACAGAUGUGGGUCACCAUACCCAGGAAGACUUGUGAGUCUUUAUUGGUCUUCUGUUUCUAGACGGAAGCAUAGCCAUGACUGAGUCCCAGAGGUCAUCUUCCUUCUACCUCCCCGUGUAGCAGUAGUGUGAUAUGGUAGUGCAUCCAGGUCUUAGAAGUGCUAUAUAAUUUGAUUUCUCCAGUGUUGGCAGGAGCUCUGGUUCUGAACUGAGAAAGGGAUGUUUACAUUUUGCAAGUACAAUCUCGAGAAUGCUUUGUCUCAGGGUUGCCCUAGGUAAGCCCCAGCUCGCUGGCACACCAAGUACCUCCUUUGUCUCUGGAAUAAGCUGCCUCUGCCUUCGAAAUCACUCUUGGAGGACGCAUGAGAAACUAGGCUGAGCAUAACAACAAGGCCCACUUUGAGAAAGCAUUUGAUUCUUGCCCCAGGUACUGCUGCCUGGAUCAGAUACCCUCAGCUUCUCUGGACAAACAUGGAGAUGGGUAAGGCUGCGAACCAGCCAUGUACUAAGUCAAUAAACUGAAAACAGGUCAGAGGACACAGUAGUGAUGUUCUUAAUCAACACCUAAGAAAGAGCUCUCACUGACCUGCACUUACAGUCAUAAUAACCACGGUUACUAUUUGUUUAAUUAGACACAUUCUGUUUCCUUGAACCCCAUCCGAGGCAAAUUCAGCAAACAGGUGGCCUUUUCUCAGUUAAUAACUGAGCGUUCUCAGGCAACAGCACAAAGUCUGAGGAACUUGUCUGAUGUCCCAGGGACAGUAAAUCAGGACGCAAAACCAUCCUGCACAGAACACUCUUUGUUUUUCUCCCCUGUCCUUCAACCCUGCUCUCUUUUUCCUGCAAGGAAGCAUGGGGAGACCCAGCCCACAACCCCUGCGGGGAGAUGUGGGCAUUUUGUGCCGCCCCUUUCUUUUUACAACAGGCAGGAACUCAACUGGGAAGCUUCCUGGUAGGCGACCAUGUCGUCUGCCUGCUGAGCUUUACUUCAAACACCCACCUGAGUUCAAGACCUUUCCACAACUCAGUCUGCUGCCUUCUCUUCCUAGCACCCUUCCCCCUCACGCCACCCGUGGGCACACAGUUCUUUUCCUUUCUGUUCCCUUCGGUCCUCUGGUUUGGAGGACAGGUUUUCAUUUUGCUAGAAAAAUCUUGCUUCAAGUACUAUUUAUGAACAGGCCCGUGCAUGAAAUCAGCAUCGGAUAAAUAUACCUUGAGUUGUUAUCUAAAUUCUAGACAAAAGAUGAAGAAGCUUUAGAUCUAGAAGGUGGAAAAGUUGGGGGCGGGUGCAGUGUGGAGCCCGGGCAAUGAUCUUGACUGCUCCCUUUGCUCUUCUGUCCUCUUUCCCUGCCCCCGGUCGCCUCAGCGCAGGCGCGGCUUCCGUAGCAUAUUUAGUAUUACCGCUGUCCUCUGAGCUCAGAAACAUCCAAACAGAUUGAAAAGCCCCAAUCGAUGCCAAAGCAGAAGUGUGCACACAGGGGCUUGUUUCCUUGGAAGUGCUUCAGCUGUAAUUAAACUCCAAAGACAAAUAUGCUAACAACUCCCUUGCCCUUCCAGUGAGAAACUGCAGAGCUGAACUGCAAGGACCAGAAAGGCAUCUCUGGAGUGCCGGGGGCGGCGGCGGGGGCGCACACGCGUGUGCCCGCUUUUGCUCGGUCACUGUCCGCAGAUGGCUUCUGGGCCUACACGUUCAAACGCUGGGCUGGGCUGGGGGUGGCUGGGGGUGGCGGCGGUGCCUGCUGCUGCCGGGCUGCGGCUGAGAUCAUUCUGUUGAUCUCGUUUUACACAGCGCAGCCCGGCACAGGCUGAGUACAGAAUGUUCUCUUCUGUGAACCAAGCUUGAACUCUUCCAGCCCACUUUGUUUGAGGAACCACACAGACACAGAGGGAAAAGACAGGGCAGAUAACCCCCCAAAUCGUUGAAAUCACGGUGUUCUUUGGGAUUUGGGCUUAGGCCAUUUGCUUUUCACUGCCUAAUGUGAAAAAAAAAAUUUUUUUUUUUCAAACCUUGCUUUCCCGGAAGAGUGAAACGCCUGUAGUGUCCUUCCUCUUAGACAGGACUUGGCACCAACUUUGGAAAUUAUAAAGUCUGUCACUGUCUCUCUUUUAAUUUAUUUUUCUCCUCUUAGGCAUUCAAAGAACAACAGUGAAAGUUGGUUUCCUAUAAAGGAAAGAUGAGGUCCCUGGCGCUUGGGACUUCUCCCUGGGUUGUUGACGCUGUCAUGAUAUUAUAAAUUGCGUUCUUGGAUUUGUUGCUACGGCUGGGAGAUGUAUGUAAUGGGGAAGGCUUUGGGCCAGUGGCUUCUAUACAAAUGAGCAAUGAGAAGAGCCCCGAGUGUGGAAGGUGGCUCCUGUUCCUCUUCCGAACCAUAGUCACCUCGUUUCAGGGUCAAGUGUGCCAUUUGAAGUCACAAAUGGCUUGCGGGCUAUAGGAUGAUCUCAGAGUGAAACUUCUGUUCAUCAUGGUGGUUUCCCAACUCACUAAGAAUAAUAAUAAUAGUAAUGAUGAUGAUGAUGAUGAUGAUGAUGAUGAUGACGACGACGACGACGAUGAUGAUGACGACGACGAUGAUGCAUUUGAAGAGAGGAGAUUCUACUGUGUCACCCAAUCUGCUUAAACGUCCAGACUCAUGCAGUCUUCCCCUCUCACUCCAGCAGAUGAGAAAUACCAAAGCCAGGAGCAACAACUCACCCAUGAUCGCUUAACCAGUCAGCCUGUCAACUGGUUUACAGAGUGAAGACACUCAAUGGACAUUGCCGGGGAAGAUGUUUUCAACAGUCGCACUGGUGAGGUGUAUCGGCCUUGGUCCACUUGGGACCCCAGCCCAUCUCUAUCACUGUGUCUCUCAGGUCUCAUUAAACAUUUCUUGUCAGAAAUUAUAAUGAUCCUGCCUCAGCCUCAGAGUACUACAACUACAGGUAAGUAGGUUUUUGUUGUCAUUGUUGUUUUAUUGUUGUUAUUGUGUGUUGUUUUGAGACAUGGUUUCUCUGUGUAGCCCUGGCUGUCAUGGAACUCACUCUGUAGACCAGGCUGCCCUUGAUCUCAUGAUGCUGGCUUCUGCCCACUGAGUGCUGGGAGGUAGUGCAUGAACCAUUAAUUCCUGGAGUCAAGUGAGAUUUUUAACAAGGGCUACCAUGGAGGGACAUUAGGUUUACACAGCUGUUAGGAAAGAAGAAAACUGUCCUCAUGUGCCUGAUUUAGUGUAUGCACUUUAUUUUUUCUUUCAUUUGUAUGUGAUAUGCACUAGUGUGUAUGUAUGUUCACAUGUGUGAAUAUGCCUUGUGUACACGAGGCCCAAAGUCGAUGGAUGCCAGGUAUCUUCCCUGCUUUAUUUUUUGAGAGGGUGUCUUUCUUCUAACUUGACACCAGAGCUGGCUGAUUCGGUUAGUUUAGGCUGGCCACCUUGUUCUGGGCAUGCCUAAUGUGUCUUCCACAUAGGGAUUACAGGUGGACCACCACAACCAUGCACGUGAUGGAUGGGGAUCGGAGCUCUGUUCUCAGGCUUCAGUGACAAGCAGUGCACCCACGGGGUCACUUCCCAGCUCCAUCAAUGUAAAUUUACACCACUGUCUGUCACCUCAAACUCUUGGUAAGAGAGAGGAUGUAUGAAUGCAUACAAUUAACACAUAGAACUUCUUCAGACAGUAAUUGUUUUGAUUUUGGUUUGUAUUUUUUGAAACAGGGUUUCUCUGUGAAGUUCUGUUUUUUUCUGGAGAUUGCUUUAUACCUAGAACUGAGAAAUUAGCCUGUCUUUGCCUCCCGAGUGCUGGGAUUGCACUGUAGGGAUCAGAUAGUAAUUCUUAGACCAAACCAAACCAAGCCAAACCAAACCAAACCAAACCAAACCAAACGAAAAACAGAAACAAAACAAAACAAAACAAACAAACAAAAAAAAACCCCAGACAAACAAAAAACCCACUGCCACAAUGAUUCCAUCUGGUCAUAUUUUCUUAUCUUGUUGGAAAAUUCAUGUAUGGAUUAUAUCUAGAAAUGGCUCUGUUUAGGUGGAGUGCAGGAGCCAUUCAUGCAGAUGGUUUAUUACUUUUUAACUAAUUAAAUCAAACCAAUAUUUACGUAGUCUUGUGGGUUCCCCAAGUCCUUGUCUAAUCAUUCUUUCUCUUCUGCAGUUCAGGCACAUGCCCUCUUGGCAUACCGGCACAGGCAUUACUAGUUGCUAUUUGCAAUGGACUGUAGAUGAAUGAGUGUCUUAGUCAGGCUUUCUAUUCAUGACCAAGAAGCAAGUUGGGGAGGAAAGGACUUAUUCAGCUUCACAUUCGCAUUGCUGUUCAUCACCAAAGGAAGUCAGGACUGGAACUCACACAGGUCAGGAAGCCGGAGCUGAUGCAGAGGCCAUGGAGGGAUGUUACUUACUGGCUUGCUUCCCCUGGCUUGCUCAGCCUGCUUUCUUAUAGAACCCAGGACUACCAGCCCAGGGACAGCAUCACCCACACUGGGCUGGGUCCUCCCGCCUUCAUCACUAGUUGAGAAAAUGUCUUACAGCUGGGUCUCAGGAGGCUUUUCCUCAACUGAGGCUCCUUUCUCUGUGAUAACUUCAGCUCGUGUCAAGUUGACACACAAAACCAGCCAGUACAAUGAGUAAACACACACUCCAAUAUUCUAGGUGAUUUCAUUUUAUUUUCUAGAGUGGUGAAUGAAUGAGUUUAGAAAUAUAUCUGAAUGUCACCAGAAGGAGGUGCACAUGAGUAAGGGCCCUCUUUACUAUGGCCGCUGAGCUUUCCCCAAGUUU